UGUUGUUGUGAGGCAAUCUUUGCUGCUGCUGAUCUGUACAGUAUUUGGUGGAAUCCUGCUCCUGUUGCUCUUCGUCUUGUUCCUGGUCUAUCUCGUCCACAGGAGAAGAAAACCCAAACAGCCAGCGGUUCUUUUCCAGACUCAAAGGUUCACCAGAGAGGACCGAGGGAUUUGUGAGGCAGAACACGAAAAUCUUCCAGGAGAACCCUUUCCAUCUCAACCUACGAACAAAGCAGAUGAAGACAAAGGAAUUGAUUAUGGAGAUGAGACAAAUCUUAAUGAAGAAUUUAGUCCACCAUCAUUAAUGUAGAGCACGAGUGCUAAGAAUGAAAAACAAACAGAGGAAAAAAAGGAGGAAAACAAAGAAACCAGCGAUGACAAAACCUACUGUAACAUUGUGACUUUGCCUGUCCAGUAAACUGUUCAGUUAUGGUUUAAUCUGGCUCUGAUUUAGGAUUUACAGCUUUGUUUGGUUUGUUCCCAGAUCCAAGACUUUUGCUUAACCCUUUAACACCAGAGCUUUAGUUCCAGUGUUGACAUUCCAUGACUUACUGUGACUCUUUAACCAUUUAUGUAAUAAACAUAAUUGCAACAGAUUACACAUAUAAGCAAUAUGUGCAAUAGAUAUUUUCACAGUUGUAAAUUGAAAAUGGAAAGUUAAUUCUUUAUGUCACUCAAUGAACCUUUUUGCGGUCAGCAGCUCUGAUGUAGUUCUUCAAGCGACUUAAAAGUUGAUUAUGUCCAAAAAAUAGAGCUGACCAUGGUCCCGAAGAAAAAGAGAGCAAUAAGUGACAAUGAUGGCAUUAAAAUCAAUCCUUGAUGAUUAGCUAGGCUAACUCCUCUCAUGGAGCUAGUGGAGGUGGGCCGAAGACUCCGAUCUCAAAACAAGCAAACAUUCUGGAGAAAAGAGUACCUAAUGGAGAACAAAUCUCUUUUAACAUGACUAUUGUCGUUUUCUUAAAUAGAAUAUAAAACAAGUCUCCAACUAUUUACUUAAAUUCAUGUUUUAUUGGAACUCAGCUGAAAUAUGUGGAAUAAGGUCAACAUAUGCACUAUGGUAGGGCAUUAAUAAGAAGUUUAUGGUAAAUUUUUUUGGGGAUUGCUCAGAAGUGAUUCUGCUUUUUUUGAUGUGUUGAAUUGAAGCACUCUGAACUUUUUUUUCCUCUAAAGUUUGAUAUACAAAAUAAUACCCCUUGUUCAUCUGCUCCAAAAGAAAAACUUCAUAAAGCCACUUUUUUAGUUGUAUUUUGAUCUUUUACUGCACCACAAUGUCACAUGACAUGACAGCACUACCCUGUCUUACUUCUGAUGGUUAGAAGCUGGUGAGAAGUUGGUGCCAUGAAUGACGGGGAGCCACCAUCUGUGUGUAAUGGUGUGUGUGUGCAUGGGGCUGUGAAUGUGACUGUAAAGUACUUUGGGUCUAAAUCAAGAUAGAAAUCACUAUAUUAGUACAGAACUUAAACCAUGUUCUUCAUUUUUUGUUUCUCCUCACAUGUUUUAUUUUUUAUGAAGUGUUGGUGCAUUCUGACCUAUUGUACAUAAUGUCAGGUUGUCUUUUUCACUGUGCUGGGGACUGAAUGCUUGUUUCAAGUUUGUGUUUGUUUUUAACACACCUCAAAUCACUAAAAGACAAUGGGAGUUUGAUUCCCCUGCAUUCUUCCUAGUUUGGAGAAUUUAAUUUAUUGUGAUGGCAGCAUACUCUACCAGUUCUACAGAAAAAUUGGCGGUAAACUUCAGUGCACUUCACACUUGUACUGUUUAUUGUGUUUACAGAUUCAGAAUUUUGAUUUCCUACAAUGAGUAGACUUUUUUAUUUAAGAUUUAUCGUUUGGUGUUUUCAUAAGUCAUUAUCAGUAGCACACUCAUUUUAUUAUUUUGGUACAGUUUACUCAACCUGGUAAUCUGUUUAAUUAACAUCACCGUUUUUUUCAGUUGUCAGUGCUUAAAGGGGCUCCACGUUAUGGGUGUGGCCCAGCUUCUCCUUUUGCAGCUCCGCUGUGAGGCCAAAAGAGGUAAUGCAGGAAGUACAGCCCUAAAAUACUCCAGCCAGGCAGUUGGACUAGUGCUAUCUAAACGAGUUUCCUGCUGAUGAAACAACUGUGUAAUUUAAUGUUUGUGCUUUGGCUAUAAGGGGUUGUUAUGCAUUGGUGUUAAUACAAUUUGCAUGAUAUUAUUUUUUUAUCUGCAGAAUGACAUAGGGACCAAGAAACUUAGUUUUUGUCAUGGUUUGGGUUUUUUUGCCUUUCCAUUUUCUUUCUGUCAUGUUUGAGUUCUGCUUCCUGUUUUAUUUUGUGCCUUGUCAGUCUUCUUUGUAUUUAAGUCUUGUCUCUGCCUUCCUCUUGUGCUGGUGCAUACCGCCAUAUCCCUGAGCCUCUUCUUCCUGUUUACUUGGUUUGUCUACAGUUUGUUGUGUUAGGUUACGCUGCUCAGCAGCACUUUUUGUUUAUGGAAUUAAAACCCCUUGACUUGGAA